UUUGCCGAAGACAAAGGUACAGUUGCAGAGCUGGAGACCGCCGACUGGGCUGGAGGCGGAGCCCCUGACUUGUCUUGGGGUGGGGCUGCCGACUUGAGUGGAGGCAGAGUCGCUGCAGAAGGAACCCCCGACUUGAGUGGAGGCGGAGUCGCUGCAGGAGGAACCCCCGACUUGAGUGGAGACGGAGUCGCUGCAGGAGGGGCCGCCGACUUGGCAGGAGGUGGCGACCAGAGUGGAGCCAGCUGGAGCAGAGGAGUUGACUGGAGUGGAGGCGCCGGAGGUGCCGGAGGCGCAGACUUUAGUGGAAGCGCAGAUUUGAAGGGGGUUGCCGACUUGGGGGGAGGCGCCUACUUGGCUGGAGGUGCCGACUUGGCUGGAGGCGCUGGACCGGGUGCUGACAGGACUGGAGGAGCCAGACUGGGCGUCGACUUGGCUGGAGGUGCCGACUUGGCUGGAGGCGCAGUCAGGACUGGAGGCGCUGGACCGGGCGUCAACUUGAGUAGAGGCGCCGGAGCUGCUGCUGGAGGGGCCGCCGACUGGACUGGAGGCAGAGUCGCUGCUGCAGGCGGAGCCUCUUGGAUAGGCGGAGCCACUGUAGGCGGGACCGCUGCCUUGGCUGGUGAUGCCGGACGUGGCGCUGACGGCCUGCCUGGAGGCAGGACCGCUGCCUUGGCUGGCGGCGCCAGACGUGGCGCUGACGGCCUGGCUGGAGGCGGGACCGCUGCCUUGGUUGGCGAUGCCGGACGUGGCACUGACGGCCUGGCUGGAGGCGGGACCGCUGCCUUGGCUGGCGGCGCCGGACGUGGUGCUGAUGGUCUGGCUGGAGGCGGGACCGCUGCCUUGGCUGGAGGCGCCGGACUAGGCGCUGAUGACUGGACAAGCUGGGCCAGAGGCGGAGCCUCUUGGACAGGCUGGGCCAGGGGCGAGACCAAUUGGACAGGCUGGGCCAAGGGCGAGACCUCUUGGACAGGCUGGGCCAGGGGCGAGACCUCUUGGACAGGCUGGGCCCGGGGCAGGACAUCUUGGACAGGCUGGGCCGGGGACGGAGCCUCCUGA
rnacentral:lncRNA from 1 species